rnacentral:miRNA from 1 species
CCUCGAGCUGCUCACCGCCUU